GACGAACGCUGGCGGCGUGCUUAACACAUGCAAGUCGAACGGAAAGGCCCUGCUUUUGUGGGGUGCUCGAGUGGCGAACGGGUGAGUAACACGUGAGUAACCUGCCCUUGACUUUGGGAUAACUUCAGGAAACUGGGGCUAAUACCGGAUAGGAGCUCCUGCUGCAUGGUGGGGGUUGGAAAGUUUCGGCGGUUGGGGAUGGACUCGCGGCUUAUCAGCUUGUUGGUGGGGUAGUGGCUUACCAAGGCUUUGACGGGUAGCCGGCCUGAGAGGGUGACCGGCUGCUUUGUGACUACGACCUGCCCCAGGCUGCGGCGGGAGCGGGCGGUGGUAAAGAUUCGACAUGGGGCGUCAGUCUGCUGCGGCGCCGCCGCGUGCUGUCUGCCGGUCGUCGGUUUGUACUCCGCUUGCGCGUGAGAGGGGGCGGGAGGUACGAUAUGGGCAAAGGCCGCUCCGUCAAAUUACGCCCCAGCGGCCGCUGUAAUACUCAGCACAUCCCCCGUCAGCCC
rnacentral:rRNA from 1 species